UGCAAAGGUAGCAUAAUCAUUAGUCUUUUAAUAGGAGGCUGGAAUGAAAGGUUUAACGAAGUACUAACUGUCUCAUUUUUAUAUUAGAAUUUAAUUUUUAAGUGAAAAAGCUUAAAUUUUGUUGGAAGACGAGAAGACCCUAUAGAGCUUUAUAACCAGUUUUCAAAAUAUUUUUAGUUAAAUAUUUUAUUUUUAUUAAAUGGGUUAUUUUGUUGGGGUGACAAAAAUAUAUAAUUAACUCUUAUUAUUCUAUUGACCAUAAAUUUAUGAUUAUUGGAUCCAAUAAUAUUGAUCGUUAGUCUAAGUUACCUUAGGGAUAACAGCGUAAUCUUCCCUCAGAGUUCAAAUUUACGGGANGGCUUGCGACCUCGAUGUUGGAUUAAGAUAAUAGUUGGGUGUAGAAGCUUGAUUAAUAGGUCUGUUCGACCUUUAAAUUCUUA
rnacentral:rRNA from 1 species